rnacentral:tRNA from 1 species
GCAGGUGUGGUGAAAUUGGUAUACACGCUUGGCUUAGGACCAAGUGGAGCAAUCUGUGCGGGUUCGAGUCCCGCCACCUGCA